UCUAGACCUAGACAUGGUCUAUAUUAUAUGUAUAUAGUUUUAGUUGGCAUAUUUAUAAUGAGGGGGGUUGGGAUGGCCUAGUCGUAUAGAGAGCUGGCCGGUAACUGAAAUUUGCUUCACAUAUAAUUACAGUGUUGAUUAUGAAUGGUAUCUCAAUGAAUGGUAUACUUCAAGUGUUAAAGUCACAAGUCGAGGUUAAAAGGAAAUGUCUUUUCCCUGAUUUAUGACAACAUUAUGCUGAUAAGGAAAAUAUGUUCUAUCAUAUAACUUGACAAUUUGUCACAGUGUUUCGGACAAAGUCUAUUGCUUCUCUAUAGGGUAAAAACAUUGGGUGACAUCAAAAGCACCAACAAAAAUUUUGAUCUCAAAUAAAGUGUUCAAU